UGGAUCAGUGGCGAAAGGGUGAGUAACGCGUGAGUAAUCUGCCCUCAAGUUGGGAAUAAUUCUCCGAAAGGAGGACUAAUACCUGAUGCGGUUAUAGAAAUGCAUAUUAUUAUAACCAAAGAUUUAUCGCUUGAGGAUGAGCUCGCGUCCCAUUAGCUAGUUGGUAGGGUAACGGCCUACCAAGGCAAUGACGGGUAGGUGGUCUGAGAGGAUGGUCACCCACACUGGGACUGAGACACUGCCCAGACUCC
rnacentral:rRNA from 1 species